rnacentral:rRNA from 1 species
UACGUAGGGUGCAAGCGUUUGUCCGGAAUUAUUGGGCGUAAAGAGCUCGUAGGCGGUUCGUCGCGUCGGCUGUGAAAUCCCGAGGCUCAACCUCGGGUCUGCAGUCGAUACGGGCGGACUGGAGUUCGGCAGGGGAGACUGGAAUUCCUGGUGUAGCGGUGGAAUGCGCAGAUAUCAGGAGGAACACCGGUGGCGAAGGCGGGUCUCUGGACAGUUCCUGACACUGAGGCACGAAGGCCAGGGGAGCAAACGGG